rnacentral:lncRNA from 1 species
CUCAUAAAUAACCGAUGAAAUCAGAUAUGUGUGGUGUUAUUACUCUGUUACAGGUUUGAUGAAGUUGAAGCAAAUCAAUAUUCGAAAAGAUGUUGAUGAGAGUGAUAAUAAAACAAUACUAAAGAGAGAAUAGGAGAAAGAAAAUUAAGGCACAGAGUUUAGCAUUUGUGGCAUAAAUUUGAGAAUAUAAGUACAGAGCAUAUAUGAGGAAUGAAGC